UCUGCUGGAGUUUCCUUAUUGC
rnacentral:misc_RNA from 1 species